GUGCUCGCUUCGGCAGCACAUGUAAUAAAAUAAGAACAAUACACAGAUUUGUAUGGCCUCUGCACAAGGAUGACUUGCAAAUUCCUGGAGCUUUCCAUAUUUGU
rnacentral:snRNA from 1 species